GGUCAAGCUGUAAAGGGCGCAAGGGGAAUGCCUUGGCACUGAGAGCCGAUGAAGGACGCGACAAGCUGCGAUAAGCUUCGGGGAGCCGCAAAUGGGCUUUGAUCCGAAGAUUUCCGAAUGGGGAAACCCGGCAGAGCAAUACUCUGUCAACGUUAACUGAAUCCAUAGGUUAACGU
rnacentral:ncRNA from 1 species